GAUGAACGCUGGCGGCGUGCCUAAUACAUGCAAGUCGAGCGAACAGACGAGGAGCUUGCUCCUCUGACGUUAGCGGCGGACGGGUGAGUAACACGUGGAUAACCUACCUAUAAGACUGGGAUAACUUCGGGAAACCGGAGCUAAUACCGGAUAAUAUAUUGAACCGCAUGGUUCAAUAGUGAAAGACGGUUUUGCUGUCACUUAUAGAUGGAUCCGCGCCGCAUUAGCUAGUUGGUAAGGUAACGGCUUACCAAGGCAACGAUGCGUAGCCGACCUGAGAGGGUGAUCGGCCGCACUGGAACUGAGACACGGUCCAGACUCCUACGGGAGGCAGCAGUAGGGAAUCUUCCGCAAUGGACGAAAGCUUGACGGAGCAACGCCGCGUGAGUGAUGAAGGUCUUCGGAUCGUAAAACUCUGUUAUUAGGGAAGAACAAAUGUGUAAGUAACUAUGCACGUCUUGACGGUACCUAAUCAGAAAGCCACGGCUAACUACGUG
rnacentral:rRNA from 1 species